CUCGUAGGCGGUUUGUCGCGUCGGGAGUGAAAACACCGGGCUUAACUCGGUGCUUGCUUUCGAUACGGGCAGACUAGAGGUAUGCAGGGGAGAACGGAAUUCCUGGUGUAGCGGUGAAAUGCGCAGAUAUCAGGAGGAACACCGGUGGCGAAGGCGGUUCUCUGGGCAUUACCUGACGCUGAGGAGCGAAAGUGUGGGGAGCGAACAGGAUUAGAUACCCUGGUAGUCCACACCGUAAACGUUGGGCGCUAGGUGUGGGGCCUAUUCCAUGGGUUCCGUGCCGCAGCUAACGCAUUAAGCGCCCCGCCUGGGGAGUACGGCCGCAAGGCUAAA
rnacentral:rRNA from 1 species